rnacentral:rRNA from 1 species
GGUGAACGCUGGCGGCGUGCCUAACACAUGCAAGUCGAGCGAUUCUCUUCGGAGAAGAGCGGCGGACGGGUGAGUAACGCGUGGGUAAUCUGCCUUGUGCACACGGAUAACAUACCGCAAGGUAUGCGAAUAAGGGAGAAUAUGAUAGAGUCGCAUGGCUUUUUUAUUAAAGCUCCGGCGGUAAAGGAUGCACCGUCGUCUGAUUAGCUAGUUGGAGAGGUAAUGGCUCACCAAGGCGACGAUCAGUAGCCGACCUGAGAGGGUGAGCGGCCACAUUGGAACUGAGACACGGUCCAAACUCCUACGGGAGGCAGCAGUGGGGAAUAUUGCACAAUGGGCGAAAGCCUGAUGCAGCAACGCCGCGUGAGCGAUGAAGGCCUUCGGGUCGUAAAGCUCUGUCCUCAAGGAAGAUAAUGACGGUACUUGAGGAGGAAGCCCCGGCUAACUACGUGCCAGCCGCCGCCGUAA